rnacentral:lncRNA from 1 species
GCUUCCUUCAGCCACAUCUUCCAAUUCUGCUUGUCUAGCAAUGUUUAGAAAAACUUCUUCAAGAGUUGUAAGCCCCAGCUGGAUAUCUGAUAUGCCAAAUUCCAUAUCUCUAGCUUGUAGCUCAGCAAAAAAGUCCUGAUUGAAGGUAAAAGCCAGUGAUCACCAAAUGAGCUAAAAGUCCAAAACUCGUGUGCAUGUAAUUCCACAAUAUAGUAGCAAGACCAGAAAUGAUUUUAAACCAAUCUAAUCUCAUAGUUGCUUUAAAGAUUUUUACCGUCAACAACUUCUCCUUGUCAUGGGGAAUAAUAUAGGUUAGGAAGGAUUUAUUUUCCUCUUUAGGCAUCACGUCCAGACGCUGUGUACAAAGCUAGCAAAUCAGAACCAGUUCCUCUAAUAGUUUCAGAAAAGAAAGGGAAAAAGCAAUAGGCAUCUUUGACAUACACUUUUAAAGAACUGUUUCAAUGCUUCAGGUUGAGAUGUACUCAAACUAUCUUCCCUUUCAGGAGACCCAUUUGUCCCACCAGAAAAGCUUACGUUAGCAAUGAAACCAGUUCCAAACUUCGAUUUCAAUCUUAUUGAAGUUCCGAUGCAACGAAGUCUACCCUUUGCCAUGAUGCCAAUGCGGUCACUUAAGAUGUCAGCUUCUUCCAUUGAAUGAGUAUAAUUUUGUAAUAUAUUGAUAAAUUAGUGUUAACCAAAACGAAGCUAUAAGAUACAAAGAAUCUGCCUGGAAACAAAAUGUUCUGGUGACACACAAAUACUCCAAAUAGCAAACACAUUUACAGCAAUUCACCUAUACACAAAAAUAGUUUAAAGCCUUUUUUUACUGUGACUAUUAAGUUCUAUAUCUAUCAUGAAGUUGCACCCGUGAUCUGUGCAGGGUCGAUCACAAUUCCAUGAUUUUGUUUCUGUCGUCCUAAAAUGUUUCUACCAGAAGUGGCUGUUGGAGGAUCUCUUAGUUGAAUAUGAGCUGGUAUUGGCAUGUCUUGUGAGUGACCCGAAAUGCAGAGUGUACCAGAAUCAUCUUGUUCCCAAUACACUUCUACCAUAGUACCGAUAGGAUUCUCAGCAGAUUCUGUUCCUGGGAUUUUCACAAAUCUUGCUCCUACAGGUAUCUGAAUAGUCACAUAAAUGAAACAGCGUUACUUAUUUCACAGAGAUUAGAGUUUUCGCAUGCAAUCUCAUCAAGAAAAUUAGGAAAUCGAGAAUCUGAUAAUCUACUUACUUGAAGUGAGAGCCCCGUAUUCAAAGUAAGAGUUGCAGAGCUUCCUUCAGCCACAUCUUCCAAUUCUGCUUGUCUAGCAAUGUUUAGAAAAACUUCUUCAAGAGUUGUAAGCCCCAGCUGGAUAUCUGAUAUGCCAAAUUCCAUAUCUCUAGCUUGUAGCUCAGCAAAAAAGUCCUGAUUGAAGGUAAAAGCCAGUGAUCACCAAAUGAGCUAAAAGUCCAAAACUCGUGUGCAUGUAAUUCCACAAUAUAGUAGCAAGACCAGAAAUGAUUUUAAACCAAUCUAAUCUCAUAGUUGCUUUAAAGAUUUUUACCGUCAACAACUUCUCCU